CCAUCCUCGACCACUCCGCCAUCUCCCAGUAUUUCAUCGGCGUGACCGUGUUGGCGAUGGUGCCAGAAAUUCCUGAGAUCUUCAACGGAAUCCAGUUUGCCCUGCAGAAUAACAUCAGUCUCAGCUUGGAGGUGGGAAACUGCAUAGCAGUGCAAGUCUGCAUGAUUCAGAUUCCCUUACUCAUCUUGUUCAA